rnacentral:lncRNA from 1 species
CCAGGGGGUCCAGACUUGUCGGCCGAAGUUCAGUUGGAGUUCGAUCUCCGUAGAAGCCCGGAUGGGGAUCAUUUGUCGAGAAAUCUCGGUCGAGACCUGCAACAGAAGUUUAGGAUGGAAGUCUGGCUCCCGUGGGAGCCCGGAUGAAGUUUACCUGCAGUUGAAGUCGGGGACGAAGUCCAGCUCCCGUAGGAGUCCGGGCGAAGUCUACCUGCAGUUGAAGUCGGGGAUGAAGUCCGGACGAAGUCUUCCCACAGUUGAAGUCGGAGACGAAGUCCGGCUCCCGUAGG